UACGGGGGGGGCAAGCGUUGUUCGGAAUUACUGGGCGUAAAGGGCUCGUAGGCGGCCAACUAAGUCAGACGUGAAAUCCCUCGGCUUAACCGGGGAACUGCGUCUGAUACUGGAUGGCUUGAGUUUGGGAGAGGGAUGCGGAAUUCCAGGGUGUAGCGGUGAAAUGCGUAGGAUAAUCUGGAGGAACACCGGUGGCGAAGGCGGCGA
rnacentral:rRNA from 1 species